rnacentral:tRNA from 1 species
GCGGGAAUAGCUCACUUGGUAGAGCGCAACCUUGCCAAGGUUGAGGUCGCGAGUUCGAGUCUCGUUUCCCGCUCCA